CCGUGAGGGGGAUGAUGUAUUACUAUAGGGCUCUCAAGAUGUUUGCUUUUCUUGAUUCUGCAUCAGAGAUGGACAUAAGG
rnacentral:snoRNA from 1 species